CUGGAGGCUUUGUUCAGAAUUGAUCCUGGGGAGCUACGAACCCAAAGUUUCACAGUAGGAAGGGGGAAAAAAGAAAAGAAAACAUUUUUCCUAAUGUAACAAUGCGAAUGCUAGAAAAUGACAAGACUGAUCGGUUUUAAACCAUUCUGAGACUGACUGAGCGUGGAAGUUGCUCAACAAAAAAAGGAACGGGUAUAUUGGUCACAGGAUCACAACUCCACUCAGGUCAGCUCCGCGAAGUGCUGUGAAGAAGCAGCAGCGUUCCUGGAUUCUUUGCUGAGACAGAAGGAAACGCACUUCUCUGGAGGAGCAUGACAUUUUCUACGUCGCUUCCUAUCCCUGUCACUGAACUUCCUGAAUCCUGGCCCCAGACACCAUCAAGAGGACCUUCUGGAUGGCCUACCUAUCCCCUGAGAGAGGAGGAACAUCAACUGUGGUUUCUAACUAGACUGCCUUCUUCAUUUCAAGCAAUGGCUGCCAUCAGGGUCAGAUUAAAGACAGACCAGUUGGACCACUGCUUGGAGGACUAACCUAGAAGGGCACCAAAAUGACCACAGAGUGCUAAAACAUCCACAGAAAUAUACAGAGAGGAAAACAAUACUAGCACUUAUUUUAGGGAGAAUUCUGUGUGGAAUUGGAAGGAAGGGUUGAUAAAUUCCUUAGGGGUAGAAAGUAAGGCAUAAUCAAAUAUAGAGGAGCAUGGGGUUGUUUUACUACAGGGCUUCUAUUUGGAAGGAAGGAUUGAUAAAUUCCUUAGGGGUAGAAAGUAAGGCAUAAUCAAAUAUAGAGGAGCAUGGGGUUGUUUUACUACAGGGCUUCCAUUUGUCCUACUCAGAUAUAUAAUUUGGGUGCCCCAUCUGGAUUGUUUGUGACCAUGGAGGGUAGGCAGACACCCUCACUGGUCCUCCGGCUUGGUUCUUCCCCAUGCAGAGCUUAGCUUGUCCUUGUAUAAAGAUUUGGCAAGUAGUGGUUUGAAGGAAACACCAAUUUAUUUAUUAGCCUACAUGUCUUGACAUUCUAGGGCUUGAAAAUGAAAAUAUAAUCAGACUAUCUUCCAGUUCUAGGAUGUUAGCCCAUAGUAUGUCUUCAUUGAUUUGAGGGCAAAGAUGAACCAACACAGUAGAUCAAGUCAAAUGGAGCCUGAAUUCCCUGCUUAUGGGCUGGGUGAUCAGCCUCUGUGUCAAGUUAAUUUGAUCAGUGGAGACACUAGGUAGAGUUGAGAUCUUUAAAAAUAUUUGGCUGAAGGGUGAUAUUAUUGAUUAUUUGUAGAUGAAGAUGUCAAGGAACAUUCAUAGAAUCAUGAAAUAUGGAACUGCGGGUCACAUUAAAAAAAUUCAACAAGUAGUUAAAUAUCUACUGGACACUGGAGACAGGUGUAAGAUAGAUAUGGUUCCAGGGCAUCUGGGUGGCUCAGUUGGUUUAGCAUCCAACUCUUGAUUUUGGCUCA